CUAGGCAUCCGACCCGAACUGAACUCUGUACCUGUAGAGCGAGCAACGAAACGGAGAAGUGGGCGCGGGAUCUGGUGAUCUGACCUGGGGCACGAACAUCCGCGGCGAGAGGGAGCGACCGGGACUCCCGGGCGGCGUCGGCUUCCCCGGGCGCGGCGGCAUCCUCCUCCCUGCCGCUGGCGUUGCCCAUGGCCUCCUUCCCUCCUCCUCCUCCUACCCCCGCCCCCGCGGCGGCGAAAUCACGGAAGUGCCACUCACUGCGUUGUGGCGCUGCUG
rnacentral:lncRNA from 1 species